rnacentral:tRNA from 11 species
AGAUUUUUUAAUACUUUCUUACUUUUUUA